rnacentral:rRNA from 1 species
UACGAAGGGGGCUAGCGUUGCUCGGAAUCACUGGGCGUAAAGGGCGCGUAGGCGGCCAUUCAAGUCGGGGGUGAAAGCCUGUGGCUCAACCACAGAAUUGCCUUCGAUACUGUUUGGCUUGAGCUUGGUAGAGGUUGGUGGAACUGCGAGUGUAGAGGUGAAAUUCGUAGAUAUUCGCAAGAACACCAGUGGCGAAGGCGGCCAACUGGACCAACACUGACGCUGAGGUGGCGAAAAGCGUGGGGAGCAAACAGGG